UACGUAGGGGGCUAGCGUUGUCCGGAAUCAUUGGGCGUAAAGCGCGUGUAGGCGGCCCGGUAAGUCCGCUGUGAAAGUCGGGGGGCUCAACCCUCGGAAGCCGGUGGAUACUGUCGGGCUCGAGUACGGAAGAGGCGAGUGGAAUUCCUGGUGUAGCGGUGGAAUGCGCAGAUAUCAGGAGGAACACCGGUGGCGAAGGCGGGUCUCUGGGCAGUAACUGACGCUGAGGAGCGAAAAGCGUGGGGGAGCGAAACAGG
rnacentral:rRNA from 1 species